UACGUAGGGGGCAAGCGUUGUCCGGAAUCAUUGGGCGUAAAGAGCGUGUAGGCGGCCCGGUAAGUCCGCUGUAAAAGUCAAAGGCUUAACCUUUGAAUGUCAGUGGAUACUGCCGGGCUAGAGUCCGGAAGAGGCGAGUGGAAUUCCUGGUGUAGCGGUGAAAUGCGCAGAUAUCAGGAGGAACACCGAUGGCGAAGGCAGCUCGCUGGGACGGUACUGACGCUGAGGCGCGAAAGCGUGGGGAGCAAACAGG
rnacentral:rRNA from 1 species